UACGUAGGGUGCGAGCGUUGUCCGGAAUUAUUGGGCGUAAAGAGCUUGUAGGUGGUUUGUCGCGUCUGCUGUGAAAAUCCGAGGCUCAACCUCGGACUUGCAGUGGGUACGGGCAGACUAGAGUGUGGUAGGGGAGACUGGAAUUCCUGGUGUAGCGGUAGAAUGCGUAGAUAUCGAGAGGAACACCUGCGGCGAAGGCGGGUUGCUGGGCUGAUACUGACGCUGAGGCGCGAAAGCUAGGGGAGCGAACGGG
rnacentral:rRNA from 1 species